GACGAACGCUGGCGGCGUGCUUAACACAUGCAAGUCGAGCGGUAAGGCCCUUUCGGGGGUACACGAGCGGCGAACGGGUGAGUAACACGUGGGUGACCUGCCCUCAGCUCUGGGAUAAGCCUGGGAAACUGGGUCUAAUACCGGACAUGACUCCAUGACGCAUGUUGUGGGGUGGAAAGCCUUGUGCGGCUGAGGAUGGGCCCGCGGCCUAUCAGCUUGUUGGUGGGGUGANGGCCUACCAAGGCGACGACGGGUAGCCGGCCUGAGAGGGCGACCGGCCACACUGGGACUGAGACACGGCCCAGACUCCUACGGGAGGCAGCAGUGGGGAAUCUUGCGCAAUGGGCGAAAAGCCUGACGCAGCGACGCCGCGUGAGGGAUGACGGCCU
rnacentral:rRNA from 1 species